AUGAACGCUGGCGGCGUGCCUUAGGCAUGCAAGUCAAGGGGGCUCAGCAAUGAGCAACCGGCAGACGGGUGAGUAACGCGUAGGAAUCUACCCCAAGGAAGAGCAUAGCCCUCCGAAAGGAGGGGUAAUUCUCUAUAUCUCGCAAGAGCAAAGGACUUAACGGUCCGCCAUGGGAGGAGCCUGCGUCCUAUCAGCUAGUUGGUGAGGUAAUAGCUUACCAAGGCGAUGACGGGUAGCUGGACUGAGAGGUCGAUCAGCCACAACUGCACUGAGACACGGGCAGUACACCUACGGGUGGCAGCAACCGGGAAUAUUGCGCAAUGGACGAAAGUCUGACGCAGCGACGCCGCGUGGAGGAUGAAGGCCUUAGGGUUGUAAACUCCUUUUGCUAAGCCGUUCACAGCUUAGAGAAUAAGCCUCUACUAACUACGUGCCAGAAGUCUCGGUAAUACGUAGGAGGCAAGCGUUAUCCGGAUUUAUUGGGCGUAAAGUGUGCGUAGGCUUUCCGUAAAGUCUAUACUUAAAUACCAAGGCUUACCCUUGGAUCUGGUGUAGAUACUCACGGAAUUGAGGAUUGAUCGGGGUGCUGGAACAGUUAAUGUAGCAGUGAAAUGCGUUGAUAUUAAUUGGAACACCAAGGGCGAAGGCAGGCACCUGAAUUUUUCCUGACGCUGAGGCACGAAAGCUGGGGUAGCGAAACAGAUUAGAUACCUGUGUAGUCCCAGCCGUAAACGAUGUCCGCUAACUAUUAGUGACUUGUCGCUAGUGGUUCAAGCUAACGCGUUAAGCGGACCGCCUGGGGAGUACGGCCGCAAGGCUAAAACUCAAAGGAAUUGACGGGGACCCGCACAACUGGUGGAGCGUGUGGUUUAAUUUGAGACGAAGCAAAAAAACCUUACCAGGGCUUGACAUGUAACCGUUUUAUUAUACCUUUGGAAACAUUGGUAGAUCCGUAAGGAUGAUUACACAGGUGCUGCAUGGCUGUCGUCAGCUCGUGCCGUGAGGUGUUCCCUUAAGUGGGGAAACGAGCGCAACCCUCGUGAAAUGUUACAUAUUCAUUUCAGACAGUCCCGAUCAUAUCGGGAAGGAAGGGGAGGUAGAUGUCAAGUCAGCAUGGCCCUUAUGCCCUGGGUCACACACACCCUACAAUGGCGAAGAACAAUGAGCCGCAAGCCGGCAACGGCAAGCUAAUCUCAGAAAUUUCGCCUCAGUUCAGAUUGGGGUCUGCAACCCGACCCCAUGAAGCCGGAAUCAGUAGUAAUCGCGGAUCAGCAGGCCGCGGUGAAUACGUUCUCGGGUCUUGUACACACCGCCCGUCAAGGCAGCAAAGUCGGGAGUGGAUGAAUCAUGCCAUUAGGCGUGAGAGUCCAAGCUUGGCGAUGAGGCUU
rnacentral:rRNA from 1 species